rnacentral:rRNA from 1 species
UACGGAGGGUGCAAGCGUUAUCCGGAUUCACUGGGUUUAAAGGGUGCGUAGGCGGUCAGGUAAGUCCGUGGUGAAAUCUCUGAGCUUAACUCAGAAACUGCCAUGGAUACUAUUUGUCUUGAAUACUGUGGAGGUAAGCGGAAUAUGUCAUGUAGCGGUGAAAUGCUUAGAUAUGACAUGGAACACCAAUUGCGAAGGCAGCUUACUACGCAAAUAUUGACGCUGAGGCACGAAAGCGUGGGGAUCAAACAGG